rfam:Paenibacillus dendritiformis C454 PDENDC1000031, whole genome shotgun sequence.
AGACAAAGAAUGCCGAAUUUCCGGAUGCCCGGAAAGCGGGGGAACCAGUUUUUUGGGUGAAUUGAUCUCAUUCGCUACGAUCAGAGAUCAUAGGGGACCUUCAACCGAACCCUUCAGCUAACCUCGCAGGCAAGGAAGGGGCUUUAU